GACGAACGCUGGCGGCGUGCUUAACACAUGCAAGUCGAACGGAAAGGCCCUGCUUUUGUGGGGUGCUCGAGUGGCGAACGGGUGAGUAACACGUGAGUAACCUGCCCUUGACUUUGGGAUAACUUCAGGAAACUGGGGCUAAUACCGGAUAGGAGCUCCUGCUGCAUGGUGGGGGUUGGAAAGUUUCGGCGGUUGGGGAUGGACUCGCGGCUUAUCAGCUUGUUGGUGGGGUAGUGGCUUACCAAGGCUUUGACGGGUAGCCGGCCUGAGAGGGUGACCGGCCACAUUGGGACUGAGAUACGGCCCAGACUCCUACGGGAGGCAGCAGUGGGGAAUAUUGCACAAUGGGCGGAAGCCUGAUGCAGCAACGCCGCGUGCGGGAUGACGGCCUGUGGGUUGUAAACCGCUUUCGCCUGUGACGAAGCGUGAGUGACGGUAAUGGGUAAAGAAGCACCGGCUAACUACGUG
rnacentral:rRNA from 1 species